CAUCACUACGCUAGAUGCAUAUCAAUAAGCGGAGGAAAAGAAACUAACAAGGAUUCCCUUAGUAACGGCGAGUGAAGCGGGAAGAGCUCAAAUUUGAAAUCUUCAAGGUUCUACCUUGACGAAUUGUAGUUUAUAGAAGUGUUUUCUGUUAGUAGAGUGGCAAAAGUUCUUUGGAAUAGGACAUCAUAGAGGGUGAGAAUCCCGUAUUUGGUCAUUCUUCUAGCGUUGUGAUACACUUUCAACGAGUCGGAUUGUUUGGGAAUGCAGUCCAAAAUGGGUGGUAAAUUUCAUCUAAAGCUAAAUAUUGGCGAGAGACCGAUAGCGAACAAGUACCGUGAGGGAAAGAUGAAAAGAACUUUGAAAAGAGAGUUAAACAGUACGUGAAAUUGUCAAAAGGGAAGCGUUUGACACCAGUGUUGUUUUUCCGAAAAUCAAUUAAGAAUGUUGAUUCAUGCAGGAGUUAUUGACCUUCAUCGGCUUGCAUUUGUUUAUGGUAACUCUUUUGAAUGCACUUUUCGGUUAACAAGUCAACAUCAGUUUCCUUUUGCUGUAAAAGGUAUGAGGAAGGUGGCUUCAUUUCGGUAGAAGUGUUUAUAGCCUUGUAGCUCUGCAAUCGGAGAGAUUGAGGUCUGCAGCGUAGAUCCUUCGGGGCUAGAUACAUUUAGUGCUAAGUUAUAGCUUUUCAUAGACGACUUGUUGACUAUGUUUAGUCAUGUAGCUUACUCGUGAAGUGCUAUUUUACCUACGCUUAGGAUGUUGAUAUGCAUGACUGAUAU
rnacentral:rRNA from 1 species